UUUAUUUUUUUUUCAAGUAAACUUUGCUUCUUAAAACAACUUCUUCCUUCAAUUAAUUCUCCUUCAUCUUCUACUUCAAUAUUUAUUUUCUCUUCACCUAACAGUUUUGUGGUUGCUCCUCCAUUUUCUUAUUUUUCAAUUCGUUAUCGUGGUGGUGAUAGAGGGCAUUGUAAACAGGUAGCAUAUUUGGAAAAUUUGGAAGAUUCUCCAGUAAGCUUCUAGCAUGGUUGCAGUUGUUACGUUCGGUGAAAAGCAUGGUGGUGGAUACAGGGGAGGAGGCAAUGGUGGUGGUGCUUGCUACAACUGCGGUGGGAUGGGUCACAUGGCCACGGAGGAGAAGGCAGUUCAUCUUUUUCUCUGCUGCUAACUGCUUUUUCUACGACCUUAUAGAGACUAACAUUUUGUCUUCCUGUUGCAUUUCGACUGUAAUGUGAGGAAUCCAACAUGGGCGUCGGUUAUGAAUAGGGUCUUCACAUGCAUCGUUUGCUCCGCUGUUCGUCGCAUCUUCGAAGUACAUAUUAGCUUUCUCAGGGAAGUUUCUUUGCUGAUUGUUUAAAUUGUGAUAAUUUCAUGAUAAGUUUUUUCAUGGAUGUCUGGUAAGACAAGUUAAACAGCUUGCUCUUCUUGCUUGACACACUGGUAAGAAAGUGGAAUGCAUUUCAACUGUCUUAAAGAGGAGGGCAUGAGGGUUGGGUUCUUUAAGGUGUUAUAUAUGCAAUGUUUGUUCAUCUGAGCUCUGCCUCUUCGAUUCAGUCAUCAUUCAUUUAUGUCGUUCUUCUGGCGCUUGCUACAGCUGUGGUGGGGAUGAGCCAUAUGGCCAGGGAUUGCAACCAAGGAGGACGUAGAUGUGGAGGCAUGCACGGCGACAGUGGUGGCAGCGGAUCCGCUACAACUAUGGAGAUUCUGGGUACUUUACAAGGGACUUCUAAACAAGCUAUUUGAAAACAAGAUGUGUUUCGAUUGCAAUGUGAAGAAUCCAACAUGAGCGUCCGUUACGUAUGGCUUCUUCAUAUGCAUCGAUUGCUCCGCUGUUCGUCGCAGUCUAAGAGUGCAUAUCAGCUUCUGGGUACAUUCCUCUCUAUUAAAUUCAUGGUUUUCUUUCCAUUUUUGUAACUGGUUUACUUCAAAUCUGGAUCUUUUUUGUUUUUGUUUUGUUUUUCUUUUUGCCUCAUGUUAUAUGAAUUCAUGUUUAUAAUACUGAGAAAACUCGAGUUUUUAGCUUCUCAAAUUUGUUGUUAAAGUGUUUUUCGGAAGGAAAAUGGAUGGGUGGAUGAGAGUGUCAUUCUGAAGCAUAGCAACGGGGAACAUUUUUCUGGCUUUAUCACUAUGCAGGCUUCCUUCCUCACGAACAUCUUUUUAAUUUAUUUUAUUUUUAAAUAACUUUGGCUAAAAUUGAUUAGAGCAGUGAACUAUUUGUAUUUGAACAUUAGCUCCUGAGGCAUUGAUAUGAACAAAAAGCUUUCAGCUUAUUUUGUCUUGGUUAGGUAUUUUUUUUAACCGUUGAUGUGCGCAUGUGCCUUUGAAGUAUAUGCAUACUUCUUGAAUUUUCAUGUUUAAAUCUUAGUAGAAAUUAUUGUCAUAAAAGAUGCAUUUGUUUGUGAUUUUGGGGGUGCAGAAAGUACCUUUCUUUUUUUUCACAAUUUUAAUAUUGUUUAAUAUGUGAUUAUGGUAUAGAUGUUGUGGAUGCAUGCAACUUUGGAUGUGAACAUUUGAAAAUGUUACUGUAUCUUAAAUACUAUGCAAUGUGCAUUCUCUGACUGAACCAGUGAAAUUCAAAUUCCAUAUGGACUUUUCUCUUAUAUGGUACAAAUGUGGAUGUAUUUGCAAUUAGCAAAGCAGUAGAUAAAAUUGAAGGCGUUCAUGGUAAGUUGCUAAAUGAAGCUGAGGUGGCAGCAGCUAUUGAAGAGAAAAAAACUCAUGCUUUUGAAAUUAAUCCUUCUCAGUGUUCCCUCCAAUUGAGCAUACCCUUAGGUGACAACACGUUGCAGCCAAGGUAACAUGGCUGGGUCCUUGAAAUAAGUUGUUCAUUAGUUAAAGUAAAUAAUUCCCUCGAUGACACUCCAAAUGAGAAGCAAGGGCGGAUGUGGACACGUGGCUAGGGUUCGGCGACAACUAAUGUCACAGUGAAAACAUAAGGAAACUAAAAUGUUAUAGAAAUAGGGCUCGGUGCGGAAAAGAAAUUGGCCUCCUCUCAACAGGGCCUUUCGCCGAAAUUGCAACGCAGUGAACGAGGCUGCCAGUGUUACUUCCAAGAACCGCGCUUACGUGACUGGCUUGCUUGGUGAUAGGUCCUGGAAAAAUUCAAAAUGUCUAUAAAGGAAGAAUCUUCUGCAGCACCUGACUGGUGACUUGCGGUUAAUAAAGCGAUCGAUUUGGUACCUCCAACUUAGGCGGGCUCCGUCUGGUGUUCAAAAAUCACAGAUUUUCCCGCCCACCACUAUCAUCAUGACAAAAAUAGUUGUGUAUAAAUAUGAGAACCCCAAAGCUUAUACAAAUUAUAUAUGUGUAUUGUUAUUUGGAUCUGCUAUAGGUUGAGGUCGAUAUUCUUUUCUGCUGCAAACAAAUGCCUGCGAGGAAGGAUUUUGUCGGGGAUAUCAAUCCAACCAAGCUUGCCUGGUCCUUGGUUGUGGGGGUUGCUCGAUUGUAUGAGUUUCCAAGUCAGUGGAACAAGAAU